rnacentral:tRNA from 1 species
GGUAAGAUGGUCGAGACUUAGGCGAUAGACUGUAAAUCUAUAUAGGAGGGAAUACCUCUUUUACC